CUCUCCGUCUCCGCCUCCGCUGCUUUCCUUUCCCUUCCGCUCCUUUUCUUGCAAGCUUGGCUCGCGUCGCGUCUCGUCUCGGCUUUGCUUGGAAUUCUUUGCUGGGUUCCUGCGCUGCUGCUCGCGGUUGAUUUCGUUGGGUUUGGUUUUGGCUUGGCUUGCGGGUUUGUUCGUUUAUUUGGUUCCACGCUUCCCUGCUGCGUCCGUCCACCGAGAGAUUCCACCUGUUCCGACCACCAGUUUGCCCUCCUGUCCCCUUCCCACCCUUCGCUUUGACCUCCUCUUGGCCUUGGCU
rnacentral:lncRNA from 1 species